rnacentral:lncRNA from 1 species
CUUUAACAAAUGUCUCCCUAUCCUGCCUUUCCCCUACCCCUCCCAGCCUCUAGUAACCUCUGUUCUGCUUUUCAUAUCUGAGUAAACUUUUUAAAAUUUCUACAUAUGAGUAAGAACAUGAGGUGUUUAACUUUCCGUGCCUGGCUUAUUUCACUUAACAUAAUGUCCUCCAGUUCCAUCCGUAUUGCUGUGAAUGACAGGAUUUCAUUCUUUUUAAUGGCCGAAUGGUAUUCCAUUUUGUAUAUAUACCACAUUCUCUUUUAUCCAUUUGUCUGUUGAUGAAUACUUGGGUUGAUUCCAUGUCUUGGCUAUUGUGAACAGCACUGCAAUAAACAUGGGGCGCACAUUUUUAAAAAUCACAAAAUUGACAUAUUUGCAAGUCAAAGAUGUAAUGGGAACUUAGCUCUCUGCAUUUCUGCUGGAAAUCUAAUUUCUCUAAAAGCAGAACAUGCAUUUUUGACCUUGUCUUACUAAUCAUUUUAUUUUGCAGAAGGAAGAGGAAGAAACAAAAGGAACUUCUCUCUUAGAUUUAAUUCUGACCUACCAGGAAGAACUGGAUUGUUGAAGCAGAAGUACUGGAGUCUCUGGAGCUAGUAUCCACGCAAUUCAUCCAUUUAUUCCUCAAGCAUGUGUUAAGCGUUUGGCGAUGCUUCACGAUGUUGGACUCUGGACAUUCACAGAAGAUGAACACAUCUCACAAAAGAUCUGGAUUUUGUCUGGAAACUCAAGUAUAAGACCUAGCACCACUUGCCAAGGACCUCUGCUUUGCUUUGGUAGGCCAAGGGUCUGGCUCUGUUACCCAGGCUGGAUUGCAGUGGUGCAAUCUCGGCUCCUGUAACCUUCACCUCCUGUAACCUUCACCUCCUGGGCUCAACCCAUCCUCUGGCCUCAGCCUCCUGAGGAACUGGGACUUACAGGUGUGCCACCACACACAGCAAUUUUUUUUUUUUUUGUAUUUUUGGUAGAGAUGGGGUUUCAUCAUGUUGGUCAGGCUGGUCUCUAACUCCUGGGCUCAAGUGAUCUGCCCAUCUCAGCCUCCCAAAGUGCUGGGAUUAUAGGCGUGAGCCACCGCACCAAGCCCUACUUUGUAUUUUGAAUAGAAGCAACAGCAGUGAUGGGAUUCGUACUCCAAACCUCAGCGUCACACAACAUUCCCAUGCAGCAAAUCUGCACAUGUAUCCUCUGUAUCUAAAAUAAAAGUUGAAAUGUUUUUAAAAAGAAGCAAUGGUAGCACUCUGUUUUAAACUAAUGUUAAUGUUCUCAAAGCCACAGUGGAAGAAAUCCACUACAUAUCACCUAGAACUGGAGAUCUAAUCUGACAGGUGGGCCACAGUACUAAUAAUGUGAGCACAAUUCCUAUACAAAAUUUUAUUAAACUGUAUUAGUUGAGCAGACAAAACUACACAGACACUCUUCUCUCUGCCUUGUUCCUUCUUGUACUCUG